rnacentral:rRNA from 1 species
CAGCAGUCGCCACGGUAAUACAGAGGGUGCGAGCGUUAAUCGGAUUUACUGGGCGUAAAGCGUGCGUAGGCGGCUUCUUAAGUCGGAUGUGAAAUCCCUGAGCUUAACUUAGGAAUUGCAUUCGAUACUGGGAAGCUAGAGUAUGGGAGAGGAUGGUAGAAUUCCAGGUGUAGCGGUGAAAUGCGUAGAGAUCUGGAGGAAUACCGAUGGCGAAGGCAGCCAUCUGGCCUAAUACUGACGCUGAGGUACGAAAGCAUGGGGAGCAAACAGGAUUAGAUACCCGCGUAGUCCCUGUCUCUUAUAC